GAUGAACGCUAGCUACAGGCUUAACACAUGCAAGUCGAGGGGCAGCAUUAUCUUAGCUUGCUAAGAUAGAUGGCGACCGGCGCACGGGUGAGUAACACGUAUCCAACCUUCCGGUUACUCGGGGAUAGGCUUUCGAAAGAAAGAUUAAUACCCGAUGUUGCGUAUCUUUCUCCUGAAAGAUACGCCAAAGGAUUCCGGUAACCGAUGGGGAUGCGUUCCAUUAGGCAGUUGGCGGGGUAACGGCCCACCAAGGCAUCGAUCAGUAGGGGUUCUGAGAGGAAGGUCCCCCACAUAGGAACUGAGACACGGUCCUA
rnacentral:rRNA from 1 species